AGCGUACACGGUGGAUGCCCUGGCAGUCAGAGGCGAUGAAGGACGUGCUAAUCUGCGAUAAGCGUCGGUAAGGUGAUAUGAACCGUUAUAACCGGCGAUUUCCGAAUGGGGAAACCCAGUGUGAUUCGUCACACUAUCAUUAACUGAAUCCAUAGGUUAAUGAGGCGAACCGGGGGAACUGAAACAUCUAAGUACCCCGAGGAAAAGAAAUCAACCGAGAUUCCCCCAGUAGCGGCGAGCGAACGGGGAGCAGCCCAGAGCCUGAAUCAGUGUGUGUGUUAGUGGAAGCGUCUGGAAAGGCGCGCGAUACAGGGUGACAGCCCCGUACACAAAAAUGCACAUGCUGUGAGCUCGAUGAGUAGGGCGGGACACGUGGUAUCCUGUCUGAAUAUGGGGGGACCAUCCUCCAAGGCUAAAUACUCCUGACUGACCGAUAGUGAACCAGUACCGUGAGGGAAAGGCGAAAAGAACCCCGGCGAGGGGAGUGAAAAAGAACCUGAAACCGUGUACGUACAAGCAGUGGGAGCACGCUUAGGCGUGUGACUGCGUACCUUUUGUAUAAUGGGUCAGCGACUUAUAUUCUGUAGCAAGGUUAACCGAAUAGGGGAGCCGAAGGGAAACCGAGUCUUAACUGGGCGUUAAGUUGCAGGGUAUAGACCCGAAACCCGGUGAUCUAGCCAUGGGCAGGUUGAAGGUUGGGUAACACUAACUGGAGGACCGAACCGACUAAUGUUGAAAAAUUAGCGGAUGACUUGUGGCUGGGGGUGAAAGGCCAAUCAAACCGGGAGAUAGCUGGUUCUCCCCGAAAGCUAUUUAGGUAGCGCCUCGUGAAUUCAUCUCCGGGGGUAGAGCACUGUUUCGGCAAGGGGGUCAUCCCGACUUACCAACCCGAUGCAAACUGCGAAUACCGGAGAAUGUUAUCACGGGAGACACACGGCGGGUGCUAACGUCCGUCGUGAAGAGGGAAACAACCCAGACCGCCAGCUAAGGUCCCAAAGUCAUGGUUAAGUGGGAAACGAUGUGGGAAGGCCCAGACAGCCAGGAUGUUGGCUUAGAAGCAGCCAUCAUUUAAAGAAAGCGUAAUAGCUCACUGGUCGAGUCGGCCUGCGCGGAAGAUGUAACGGGGCUAAACCAUGCACCGAAGCUGCGGCAGCGACGCUUAUGCGUUGUUGGGUAGGGGAGCGUUCUGUAAGCCUGUGAAGGUGUGCUGUGAGGUAUGCUGGAGGUAUCAGAAGUGCGAAUGCUGACAUAAGUAACGAUAAAGCGGGUGAAAAGCCCGCUCGCCGGAAGACCAAGGGUUCCUGUCCAACGUUAAUCGGGGCAGGGUGAGUCGACCCCUAAGGCGAGGCCGAAAGGCGUAGUCGAUGGGAAACAGGUUAAUAUUCCUGUACUUGGUGUUACUGCGAAGGGGGGACGGAGAAGGCUAUGUUGGCCGGGCGACGGUUGUCCCGGUUUAAGCGUGUAGGCUGGUUUUCCAGGCAAAUCCGGAAAAUCAAGGCUGAGGCGUGAUGACGAGGCACUACGGUGCUGAAGCAACAAAUGCCCUGCUUCCAGGAAAAGCCUCUAAGCAUCAGGUAACAUCAAAUCGUACCCCAAACCGACACAGGUGGUCAGGUAGAGAAUACCAAGGCGCUUGAGAGAACUCGGGUGAAGGAACUAGGCAAAAUGGUGCCGUAACUUCGGGAGAAGGCACGCUGAUAUGUAGGUGAAGUCCCUCGCGGAUGGAGCUGAAAUCAGUCGAAGAUACCAGCUGGCUGCAACUGUUUAUUAAAAACACAGCACUGUGCAAACACGAAAGUGGACGUAUACGGUGUGACGCCUGCCCGGUGCCGGAAGGUUAAUUGAUGGGGUUAGCGCAAGCGAAGCUCUUGAUCGAAGCCCCGGUAAACGGCGGCCGUAACUAUAACGGUCCUAAGGUAGCGAAAUUCCUUGUCGGGUAAGUUCCGACCUGCACGAAUGGCGUAAUGAUGGCCAGGCUGUCUCCACCCGAGACUCAGUGAAAUUGAACUCGCUGUGAAGAUGCAGUGUACCCGCGGCAAGACGGAAAGACCCCGUGAACCUUUACUAUAGCUUGACACUGAACAUUGGUCCUUGAUGUGUAGGAUAGGUGGGAGGCUUUGAAGCGUGGACGCCAGUCUGCAUGGAGCCAACCUUGAAAUACCACCCUUUAAUGGCUGGUGUUCUAACGUAGACCCGUAAUCCGGGUUGCGGACAGUGUCUGGUGGGUAGUUUGACUGGGGCGGUCUCCUCCUAAAGAGUAACGGAGGAGCACGAAGGUUAGCUAAUCCUGGUCGGACAUCAGGAGGUUAGUGCAAUGGCAUAAGCCAGCUUGACUGCGAGAGUGACGGCUCGAGCAGGUGCGAAAGCAGGUCAUAGUGAUCCGGUGGUUCUGAAUGGAAGGGCCAUCGCUCAACGGAUAAAAGGUACUCCGGGGAUAACAGGCUGAUACCGCCCAAGAGUUCAUAUCGACGGCGGUGUUUGGCACCUCGAUGUCGGCUCAUCACAUCCUGGGGCUGAAGUAGGUCCCAAGGGUAUGGCUGUUCGCCAUUUAAAGUGGUACGCGAGCUGGGUUUAGAACGUCGUGAGACAGUUCGGUCCCUAUCUGCCGUGGGCGCUGGAGAACUGAGGGGGGCUGCUCCUAGUACGAGAGGACCGGAGUGGACGCAUCACUGGUGUUCGGGUUGUCAUGCCAAUGGCACUGCCCGGUAGCUAAAUGCGGAAGAGAUAAGUGCUGAAAGCAUCUAAGCACGAAACUUGCCCCGAGAUGAGUUCUCCCUGACUCCUUGA
rnacentral:rRNA from 1 species